rnacentral:sRNA from 1 species
UGAGUAUUGAGCGGAACAAAUCAGACCGUAAGGUUAUAAUUAUGUACUAUGAUUGGAAAAUAUAACUAUAGUUACCAUAGCUGUAGAUGGAUGCUUCGAUAUAUAGUAUAUUACAGUAUCAAUCGGAUUUACAUGCUCAGCCGCCAAAAA